AUCUGUCUUGGCCUGAAACAUGACACAUCACUUGGUUAAUAGGAUUUAUUUCCCUAGAAGAGGAAGAUCACGGCACAAAAUGAAUCUAUAUUUGAUCGUUGUCUCAAAUCAUUUUCAUCUCAUGAGAUUAAUUCAGAUUACUCCUGAGACUUGAAGUUCUUGGUCGAGUAUACUAGUUUGGAUGAGAUAAUGGAAUUGGAAUGAGAUUAUCAUCAAUGAUGUUUUCACUUAUAUGGUAGUUACCGACAUAAAUGAAAAGCAACGAUAUCGAACCACGUUCUGUUGAUUAGUGACAAUGUAAAACUUGUUGGACAACCGAAAUCACAAUCCAGGUUAAUUUCCUUACCAUACUGUGUUUGGAACUAUCAUUCCUGCAUUGCCCAAGGUAACCCUAUUAUGUUACAAGUGGGAAAGGAAGCGUAAUGAGAUGAAUGAAAUAGUGUGAUAUGAUGCACACCUUAUGGCGUAAGGUUUCUCUCAAACACCUUGUGAUUGACUGUAGCAUUAUGAAAUGUGGUUAGUGUUUCUCCAUGGGGAUAUUGAUACGGAGAUUUACAUGUAAGUUCCCGAAGAACUACAUGGACUAGUUCAAAUAGUUCCAAACCAUGGAACACCCUUUCCACUCGUUUGAGGUGUUCACUGACAGAUUGAAGCAAUUUAGAGAAUGUUGUAUACCCAUCUAGGUGAUUAUUUGAUCAGUCAAGGAUAUGAAUGAAUGCCCUUGCGUGUUAAACUAUGAAGUCUUAUUCUGAAUUGUUAGAGUUACAGUUUAUGUCGAUGACAUGAAUCUCACUAAAACUCUAGAAGAGCUUGGGAAAACUACCUCGCAUCUAAAGACAGAAUUUUAGAUGAAGGAUAUUGGGAAAACUCGUUUAUGCCUUGACUUGAAAUUCAAGCAUUACUCUAACAAUAUUUUGGUCUACUAGUCAAACUACACCCCAAAGGUGUGACCUUUGAGUAUACCUAUGAUCGUCCAUACACUAUAUGCAAAUGAGACCCUUGAAGGUUAUGAAACCUAAAGUUCUAUAUCUGAGUUCAACUUUGCACUUUGUUUUACUUAGCUCAUUGUAUUGGACAAUACAUCUUCUUCGAUGUUGAUAUUGAAGGGAAAAUUAUGAGAUUCUAGAAUGGGAUUUCAUAAUGACUAUCAUGCAUAUACAAAUCAAAUUUAAUAUACGAAAGCAGCGGAAGCAUUUAUUACAUAUUAUCAAAGCUAU
rnacentral:lncRNA from 1 species